UAAAAUAUAAUAUAUAUAUUUUAGUAUUUUUAUAAUUCCAUUUUAAAAAAUUUAUUGAAUAUUUUUAUUUUUGUAUUUAUAUGGUUUUUUUUUAAAAAAGAAAAAAAAUUAACCUCCCGCAACCGCAAACGCUAGCUGGAACCAGCUUUUGAAUUUGAGAGGUUCGGAGCGGUUUGAAACGAUUUGUAACGGUUUGUAUGAUUGUUUCGGAACGCUGUCAACCGCCACUAACCUCAAAAGCUGCGUUUGCGGAUGGUAGUGGGGAAACCAGUCAAGCUAUCAAUGAGAGUGCUUAUAAAUCGAUCUCUUAGUGAAAAGUUAUUUAUAAUAUAUUUAUAGUUUAUAACUUUAUAUCUUUAUGAAAAGUUAUUUUUAAUAUUUUUGCAUCAGUAAUUUAUUUUAUGGUAAUCAACUAUUCUCUCUGUUUCAAUUUACUUUGUGUUUAAGGUUUUUUUUUUGCACACCAAUUAAAACUGUUAAAUUUUAUUUAUUUAUUUCUUUUUACAUUAACUAAAGCUAAUUCAUAAAAUAUAGUAUAAAUGGUUAAAACAUCAAAUAAUAUAUAAAUAUUUUUAAAAAAUUGAAAUCAUUAGUUAAAUUGAUAUAAAAAUAAAAUCUUAAAACAUCGAUUAAAAUUAAACAUCGACUUAGGUGUAGUCUUGUACCUAAUCAUAUAUAUUAAUUGAAAAUUAUUUAAAAAAUAGUAACCUAUUUUAUAUUAAUUAAAAAAGAGAUUUGAUGAUGUGUCACUUAAUUAGAAUGUCAAUUUGUCUUACGUGACAACAUAAUAAUCAAUUGAAUAAUUUGUAGGUCCAAAAUCCAAUUGCUAAGGUACAUUAUAUUAACUCAAAAUAUAAGAAACAUGUAUUAUUUUCUUAUAUAAAAGCUACGGUGUUACCUAAUAUGAUUAACACAUAUAUGAAAAUUAAUGAUUAUAUAUAAAAUAUUUGACAACAAUUUUUGUAUCAUUCUUCAUUUUUGUUUAAUUUUAUAUUAUUAAAAGAAAUUUAACAAUCAUAUUAACCAUAUAAUAAAAAAUUUAGAUUUUUCAUACAUGUUAUAUUUUAAUUUUCUAAAACGACUUUAAAUUACAAAAAAAUUAAACAUUCCUUUGAAAAAUUUAUGAUCAUUAGCUUUAUUUGUUUUGUUAUAACAAGAUACAAUGAUCAUAAAAUUGUAUUAAUAAUAUCAAUUUUUAUUUAAUAGAUAUUCACAUAAAAAUAUAUAUAUAUAUAUAUAUAUAUUAAUAUUUUUUAAAUUAAACUAUGUACCAUACCAUUUAAAAAUACAUAAAUAUGUCAAUUUUGAAAUUUGCAUUGAAAGAGUAUUGAGACUUUAAUAUUUUAAUUUUAAAAUUUGCAUCGAAAAAUAUCACAUCAAAAAUUUGGGAUUAAUGAUUUAAAUUUUUUGUUACAUCAAAUAUACAAAUUUUUAUAAAACCAUAUAAGUAGAAAGUCUCAAUAAUAAGUAUUAUAUUAAAAUAUGCUAUAUAUUUAUGUCAAUACCAUUGGAAUAUAGUUAUAUACCAUAUUAAAUAAAUAAAAUGAUUAUUUUGAUUUAUUCACCAUAGGUAUAUUGUAAAUACACAAGAGGUAUUAUGUUGAUUUAUGUGAUUACUCUAAUCUCCUAUAUAUUAAUUGAGAAAUAAUUCAGCAUGUGUAAGAUUUUAUAAAUUAAUAUUGUUCAAAAAUCUUACAAGAGAUCGAUACAACAAGAUUUAUUUAGAAGCUAUUGAAAUCACAUAGUCGAGAACACAAAUUGUACAACAAAUUUGCUUUCCUAACCUAACCCCUUUCUAUUCGUCACAACACCGAGAGAUAAUAUUUGGAAGUGUCGAUUUACAAUCUUAAAUGAUAAAUUUUUUAUGUUCAGCCUAUUGUUUUUCUUAAAUUGACUUAAAACAGUUUUUAAUGAUUAAUCAAAUGGACCACAUACAUAGUAAAAUGUGUUUUGGUUUAAAAAUGAUUGCAUACCCAAAAUUAAUAUGAACAAUCAUCAUUUUCGCUUAAAAUUUUGUCACAAUAAAAAUACAGGGUUUGCAAAAAAUCCAAAUCCAAAAAAAAAAACCGAACCAAAACCGAUCCAAAAUACAGUACUGAACUUUAACCAAAUUGAUUAGAUAUCCGAAUAGGUUCAAAAUUUUGGUAUCUAGAGAACCGGAACCGAAAUAUUUCGGGUAUCAAAAUAUAUCCGAACCAGAUUUAUAUACUUAAAUAUAUAAUUAUUUUUAAAUUUAAUAUCUAAAAGAAUAUACAAAAUAUACAAGAUGUUUUUAAGUUGUCCAAAAUACUUGGAAAUAUAUACAAAUAGUUAUAAGUACAUGUUUAAAAUAGUUAAACGAUACUUAAAAUACAUAAAAUACUUAAAAUAUCUAUUGAUCUUCUAUCCAAAUAUUUAAGUUAAACCAAUUUUUAUGUUAAGUUUACCUAAAUCUCAAUCCUAAUGAUGAAUAUCACAACUAGCAAUCUAUAGUUGGGGCUGAUAACCUAUUUAAACCUUAAACCUAACAAGAGAACUAUUCAGACAUGGCUAAGCAAACAAGAAAGCACAUUUUGCCUCUAACAUGUUGGUAAGCUAUAAAUAUUAGGUGAAAACUUGUCAAGGGUAAUCUUGUAAAUUGGUGAAGUCUUGUGCUCUACAUCGGCUGGAACCGAAUGGCUUCUGCGCGCUUCGCUGUCGAUCGAUGUUACAGGGUGUAGAACACUUUUCCUUGUUUUUAAAUGUACUUGUGUAAUCGAAUCAGGGCCGAAUAUUAUAUGAUAUGCUGUAAGAACCACCAAUCUUUUGUAGUCUUACGCAGUAGCAUACUACUAGGAUAAUAUAUAUGAAUACUUGUGUUUAAUUAAUACAUCUAAUAAAGAUAAUGAUUAUAUUAUAGAGUGAGAAUAUGUAGUCAUAUUCAGUGUCGUGCGAAGGUUAUUAGGGGUCUAGGAUAAAAAUAAUUUAUUUUAUAUCAAAUAUGCGUAUUAAUUUUUUUAAUACGAACCAGAAAAUAAAUUGUUUUUUUAUCUUAUAUUUUAAAAUAAUUUUUAAGAAAAAAUAAUCUUAUGAAAAUUAAUGGCAAAAGUUAUAUUUUGGUUACAACUGAAAAUUGUAUAUACAAACUCAAACUAUAUGCAGAGAAGACAUUCAAAAUAAAAAAUAUAUAAUGAAAUUAAUAUUCACAACAACUAAGCAGAAAUAGUAAUAUUAUUGAAAAGUAUUAAGAGAUAAUUAUAGUUUUUAUCGUAUCAUAUAUUAAUUAUAUGAUUUAUGAAUAUAGAAGUCCCAAAAUGUACUAAUGUGAGAAGAGGUCUGGAGCCAAUGCCCCAAAAUUGAUAAGGUGAGCACGGCUCUGGUCAUAUUAUUAUUAUUAUUAUUAGCUUCAAUCAGGAGAGCAUUUGACUAGGACAGCAGAACGUGAUAUAUGCUUGAAAGAGGUGUGUCAAUUGUGUGAGAGAAAUCUGAGAUCUUGGUCCCAUUGUCUCAUUGACCUUAAAGACGCUUAUUAAACGACUUGUAACCAACAAGAGCUACUCACACACAUCGAGAGAAAAUAAUUAUUCAUCAGGAUUCAAUCUGUGAAAGGUUUUAUUGAUUUUCAAAUCAGAAAAACAAUUAGCAAUUAGUGACAUUUCUCUAUUAUACUAGUGGGUAUGUACAAUCAUAUUUUAGAUGUGAGAUUUCCAACAAUGACGUUGCUGUUUCUCUUAAUAUAUUUUUAAAUGUUUUCUUUAUGUUUAUCUUUUAUGUUUUUUUUUUGCUUAAGGUCUUUUUGUGUUUAUUACAAUGAAUCUGUGGAAUGGUCCUGCUGAAGUGAUUGUGGAAGGUGGAUGGAUGUACCUACUAAUAGAUUCAACAACUGAAUUAUAUCACGCAAUUUUAUGCAGACUAGGCUAUCCGUGUCAGAUAACUGUAUUGUACUUCAAAAAAGUUUAUAGCGAAAAAGUUCAAUGCAUAAAUGAAAAUAAUAUUACAAACUGCAAUAUUUAGAAAUAUAAUUACUUGCAAAUCUAGUAUUUAAUGUGACAUAUAAUUGAAAUAUAUUUUUACUUGUAUAUUUAUAUACCAAUGUAUUAUUUUCAAAAUUAUGCAAAAAAAUAAUACAAAUGAAUUGUUAAUGGGUUCAGAAGUACACGACAACUGGAAAUUAUGAUUUGAUCAGUUGGUCAUGUGUGAAGGUCCCUAUAAAUAGGAUACUUAUAUAAUUUUAUGAAUCUUAUUAUAUAAAUAAUAUCAAUGAUUUUUAAUUAAUUGAGUGAUUAAUUUUAUUUUCUAGAUAUUACUGUUUAAGAAAUAUUAUAAUCAGUUACAGAUGACAAAUGUAUAUUUCUCUUAAAAAACUUAUUUUCAAAUAAUAUUUUUAAUAAAUAAAUUAUCAAUCUAUUUUUAAUCAGUAACUCUAUUUUAAUUAGAGGUAUUUCUAAAAUAAUGUAAUAAAUAUUAAAAUUAUUAGUUUUACUUGUAAUGUAUUUUUGAUGAUAAUUAGAAAAUAAGAAUAUCUUUAAAUAAUCUAAUCUCAUAAUCUGAAAUUAUAUUUAAAAUAUAUAUUUUAAAAUUAUUAUAAUGCUAAAUAAAAAAAUUCAAAUAAUUGUGGUCAAGAAGUUAAAAUUAUGGUUGUCAUUUCGAUGAAUAGUAUAUUGUUAAACUAGUGUAAUAAGUUAUUAUUACGUUGUAGAACUCAAAGUAAUUUAUUUAUAUUUUAAAUAUUAUAAAUUUGAUUCGCUUAUGUAAUUACAUACCACUUCAUUUUUUAUUUUAUUUUAUUUUAGACAAAAACAAUAUAUAUCAAAUUAUAUAAUUCAGUGGAUCUUUUUUCAAAAAAAGGAAGACUUUUUCAAAAAAGAAGAAGAAGAUAUAAGACUACAAAGUGAACGUGGCUAUAUUAUUAAUCAGAAAUGCAUUCAAUCUGGACAGCAUUUAAUUAGGACCGCAGAACGUGAUACACAUGCCUUCUUUAUCCAUUGUGUGAGAGAGAUUUGAGAUUUUGGUGCCAUUAUCUAAUUGACCUUCAAGACGCUUAUAAAGAGACGGUUUUUGUUGCCAACAAGAGAUGUCACAACGAGAGAGACAGAGAGAGCACUGACUUGAUGGAUGAAAUUAGGGUUUUGUACCGUUUGGUAAUAACGGUUAUGUGCUUUGUGUGUUUAGGGCUUAGUGUUGGGAUGUGCUCAGAGUCCGAUGCCUUGAUCAAGACUUACGUGUCUUCCACACUACACUCUGAUGACUUGCUCAGUUCCACAAAGCUCCAAAUUAUCAACCUUUUUUUUGCUAUCUUAAAUAUCGUGGAUUAUAAAAAAUUUGUAGGAUAAUCACACUAUGCACAACCCAUCUUUUAAAAUGAAAUCAUUGCAUUUUUUAUUUAAAUCUCUGUUUUGUUCUUUGUGUAUAUAGUCCACGAAGUCCCUAAAUCGGACUGGGAUUCAUUGGUGAUGGAGUCCAAAGCCCCGGUGAUGGUUUUGUUCACAGCCUACUUGUGCCCAACAUGUUUUAUCAUGAGUUUCAAUAUGGACACUUUGGACUUGAAAUUCGCAGGGAGGUUCAAAUUCUACAGUGUCGACCUUGAUGACGAGCCAGAGAUCGGAGCACGUUGGGGUGUACUAACUUGCCCCACCACAGUUGUUUUCAAAUUGGGAAAAGUAAUGGAUAAGCGCACAGGAUUUCUUAACGAAGCGACACAGAUGGAUAUCGUCGAGAAAUAUAUAUGAGAACUCUUGGGCAUUGAGUCUUACGUAUGGUUUUUAUAUCUAAAAAUGUUUGAGUGUUGCGUGUAUCUUUAUGUUAUUACGCAAAAAUAAAAUUACUACAACAUGAUUACUCGAGAAAAAUAGCAUCUCCUGAGGUAACAGUUUCUCCUUCCAACGUAUUAUAAUACUUCCGCGUAAUGUCCUUACCAUCAUUGCUCUUGAGGAUAGUAAGACUUUGACCGUCAUUAACAACUCUCUGUAAAAAUGGAUUGUUUGAUUGAAAGAUACAAAGUUGACUUGUAGUUUUUGGUGAUUUUCAAACAUAGGAUGUAGACUAGAAUGAGAGUUUUACUCCUAUUGCAAAAUUAGUGACCCCAAGAGCUUUUCUCAAACUCGCAGCUUUUCAAGAUUGAAAAGUGUAUCAGAUGGAUGUUAAUAAUGUGUUUUUAUGGUGACCUUGAUGAAGCAAUUUCGGUGCGAUCACAUAUAGAUGUUGAUCCAAGGAUCAUGGAAAAACAAGUUUUGUCGUUUGCAAUAAAUCACUUUAUAAUUUUAAGGAAGCUCUACGGUGUUGGUUUGAAAUACUAACAGUUUUUAUAACUCAAAAUUUGGUUUUCCGGCCUUAAGAUCUGUACCAUCUGGGUAAUGCAUAGGUAGUGAACGGUGUGAAGAGGCACUAGAAAAAUAGGAGAAGUGCUAUGUUGUUGGUAGAGCUCCUAUUCCAAGUUUCUGAAAGUAUAUAUAGGGAACUUCAACAAACGCCCUUGCAGCUAAAAGAGGAUCCAUAGCAGCUCAAAGUACUUGAAAAUGGGCUAUAUGAUGGUAACAUAAAAUGGAAUCAUAAAGCUCACGGAGUCGAAACCUUGAAUCUUCAAUGUGCCAAAGAAGCAUGUCCUAGCGUACAAAUACAGAUCAUGCUUUCGAAUUUUACACUUCAACCCUUUUCCUUGUUUUUAAAUGUGACUUGUGUAAUCAAAUCAGGGACUAAUAUUUAUAUGAUAUAUGCUGUAAGAACCACCAAUCUUUUGUAGUCUUAUGCAGUAGCAUACUACUAGGAUAAGAUAUAUGAAUACUUGUGUUUAAUUAAUACAUCUAAGAAAGAUAAUGAUUAUAUUAUAGAGUGAGAAUAUGUAGUCAUAUUAUUAUUAUUAUUAGCUUCAAUCAGGAGAGCAUUUGACUAGGACUGCAGAACGUGAUAUAUGCUUGAAAGAGGUGUGUCAAUUGUGUGAGAGAAAUCUGAGAUCUUGGUCCCAUUGUCUCAUUGUGAUACAGGGAAUGCUAUAAGUACGUCACUGGACACGUCAGCUAAAUGAAAGAGAGCAACAAGAAGUAUAAAAACAGAAGAAGCUUUCACUUGGAGAAUUAUCGAAAAAGAUCAAAAAGUUUGUUAGAGUCUUCUUCUUCCUUUUCUCUGUGGUUACUGUGAUUUUCCUGUGAAUUUUCUAGGAAAAUCCCUCAAUUGUUGUUCUAGAACUGUUUCUUCUUCUAAGUUCUUCACACAUUGAGAGUUGGUUUGGCGUUUUAUGAACGUGAUUCCAAAGUUACUAUUCAUCAUCUUCUCCAAUACAGAUUUUCUGUAUCACAUUGACCUUAAAGACGGCUUAUUAAACGGCUUGUAACCAACAAGAGCUACUCACACACAUCGAGAGAAAAUAGUUAUUCAUCAGGAUUCAAUCUGUGAAAGGUUUUAUUGAAAGGUGUUUCAAAAAAAAAAAGGUUUUAUUGAUUUUCAAAUCAGAAAAAAAUUUAGUAAUUAGUGAAUUGUUUCAUUUCUCUAUUAUACUAGUGGAUAUGUACAAUCCAUAUUUUAGAUGUGAGAUUUCCAACGAUAACGUUGAUGUUUGUCUUAAUUUAUUUUUAAAUGUUUUCUUUAUGUUUAUCUUUUAUGUUUAUUACAAUUAAUUUGUGGAAUGGUCCUGCUGAAGUGAUUCUGGAAUGGGUGGAUGUACCUACUAAUUGAUUCAUCAACCGACUUAUUUCACGCAAUUUAAUGUAGACUAGGCUUAUCCGUCUCAGAUAACUGUAUUGUAGUUCAAAGAAGUUUAUAGCGAAUAAGUUCAAUGCAUAAAUGAAAAUAAUUUUACAAACUGCAAUAUUUAGAAAAAUAUAGUUACUUGCAAAACUAAUAUAUAAUGUGACAUAUACAUGAAAUAUUUUUACUUGUAUAUCUAUAUACAAAUUUAUUAUUUUCAAAAUUAUACAAAAAUAUAAUACAAAUGAAUUGUUAAUGGGUUCAGAAUUACACGAACCAAUAUUUUUAAAAAAAACUCAUCCAUUGAUUAAAUAUUUUGAAUAUAAUAACAUAAAACAACUGAAAAAUUAUGAUUUGAUCAGUUGGUCAUGUGUGAAUCUCCCCAUAAAUAGUGUACUUAUAUAAUUUUAUUUUCUAGAUAUUCUGUUUAAGAAAUAUUAUAAUCAGUUAUAGAUGAUAAAAGUAUAUUUCUAUUAAAAUGUUUUAUUUUUUCAAAUAAUUUUAGUAAACAAAUUAUCAAUCCAUUUUUAAUCAGUAACUCUAUUUUAAUUAGAUAUAUUUCUAAAAUAAUGUAAUAAAUAUUAAAAUUAAUGUUAAAUGUUUCUAGUAGUGUAUUUUUGAUCAAAUAAUUAGAAAAUAAGAAUAUAUUUAAAUAAUGUAAUCUCAUAAUCUGAAAUCAUAUUUUAAAAAUAUAUAUUUUAUAUAAAAAAUUAUAUAAUAAUAAAUAAACAAUUCAAAUAAUUGUGAUCAAGAAGUUAAAAUUAUGGUUGUCAUUUCAUUUGAAUAGUAUAUUGUAAACUAUUGUAAUAAAAACAUCUUUGCUUGUGAGUUAUUAUUUAAAACUCUUAAGUAAUUGAUUUAUAUUUUAUCAAUUUGAUUCGCUUAUGUAAUUACAUACCAGUCAUCACUUCAUUUUUUAUUUUAUUUUAGACCAAAACAAUAUAUAUAUCAAACUAUAUAAAUCAAGUGGAUUUUUAUCAAAAAAAAAAAAGACUUUAAAAACAAGAAGAAGAUAAGACUACAAAGUGAACGUGGCGAUAUUAUUAUUUUAAUUAUAAAUGCAUUCAAUUUGGACAGCAUUUAAUUAGGCCAUGCGCAGCGAUGAAUUCUCAACUGAUCUCUAAUUAUUAAAUUAAUGAAAAUAAAUGAACAAGGAAGAGAGAGAAUGAAAAACGUUUCUUCUUGAAGAGACUAAAAAAAAUCUGAAGAGACUCCGCUUCCAUUUUAUCUUCUUUUCAUUGGGUAAAUUUCAUUUAGUUUUGAAAUUUAAUUACAAAUAAUAUUAUACUAGUUUUUUUAUUGAUUAGAUACCAUGGGAAGAACUUCUACCACUAAUGAUGCUCUUAGGACCUCAGAAUACAUGCCUUAGAAAGUUCUCUAUGCAUUGUGUGAGAGAGAUUUGAGAUCUUGGUGCCAUUAUCUCAUUAGCCUUCAAGACACUUAUAAAACGAGGGUUUUGUUGCCAACAAGAGAAGUCACAACGAGAGAGACAGAGAGAGCACUGAUUUUGAUGGAUGAAAUUAGGGAUUUGAACCGUUUGGUAAUAACGGUUAUGUGCUUUGUGUGUUUAGGGUUUAGUGUUGGGAUGUGCUCAGAGUCCGGUGCCUUGAUCAAGACUUAUGUGUCAUCCUCACUAUACUCUGAUGAUUUGCUCAGCUCCACUAAGCUCCAAGUCCCUUAUGUCGCUGAAUCAGACUGGGAUUCAUAGUUAUGUUCACAGCCGAUAUUGAUUUAGAGCGAGAGAUCGCACCACGUUGGGACAUACGAGCUCUCCCCACCAUCGUUGUUUUCAAAGGGGGAUACUUAGUGGCUACUCGCGCCGGAGCUCUUGAAGUAAAGACACUGAGGGAGAUCAUCGAGAAAUAUAUGUGAUGACUGGGCAUUGAGUCUUAAGCAUGGUUUAUACAUUUUAUAUGUUUGAGUGUUGCGUGUAUCUUUAUGUUAUCACUCAAAAAUAAAACAAUUACAACAUAAAUUAUAGAGAAUAACAGCAUUUUUGAGAAA